rnacentral:rRNA from 1 species
AGAGACAGCAGCCGCCGCGGUAAUACGAAGGGGGCUAGCGUUGUUCGGAAUUACUGGGCGUAAAGCGCACGUAGGCGGAUAUUUAAGUCAGGGGUGAAAUCCCAGAGCUCAACUCUGGAACUGCCUUUGAUACUGGGUAUCUUGAGUAUGGAAGAGGUGGGUGGAAUUCCGAGUGUAGAGGUGAAAUUCGUAGAUAUUCGGAGGAACACCAGUGGCGAAGGCGGCUCACUGGUCCAUUACUGACGCUGAGGUGCGAAAGCGUGGGGAGCAAACAGGAUUAGAUACCCCCGUAGUCCCUGUCUCUUAUAC